CGGCUUUAUUUAAUCCGUGGUAGACUGGACUCGUCCAACAGGAGCAGCCGCGUCGAGAGCGCGCAUCGAUCACUGUGCGCUGCGGGAGGAGGAGAGAAGAGGGAGGGAGGGAGGGAGGGAGGAGGAGGGAGGGAGGGAGGGAGGGAGGGAGGAGGAGGGAAGAGGAGGGAGGAGGAGGAGGGAGGAGGAGAGAGAGGGAGGGAGGAGGAGGAGGGAGGGAGAGGAGAGAGAGGGAGGGAGGGAGGAGGAGGAGGGAGGGAGAGAGAGAGAGAGAGGGAGGGAGGAGGAGGAGGAGGAGGAGAGAGAGGGAGGGAGGGAGGAGGAGGAGGGAGGGGAGGGGAGGAGGAGGAGGAAGAAGAGAGGGAGGGAGGGAGGAGGAGGGAGGGAAGGGAGAGAGGGAGGGAGGGAGGGAGGGAGGGAGGGAGAGAGAGAGAGAAGAGAGAGAGAGAGAGGGAAGAGAGAGAGAGAGAGGGAGAGGGAGGGAGGAGGAGGGAGGGAGAGAGAGGGAGGGAGGAGGAGGGAGGGAGGGAGAGAGAGAGAGAGAGGAGGAGGGAGAGAGGAGAGAGGAGGAGAGGGAGGAGGGAGGGAAGAGGGAGGAGGGAAGAGGGGGCGAGGGAGGAGGAGGAGAAGGGAGAAGAGAGAGGGAGAGAGGAGGAGGGAGAGGGAGGGAAGGGAGGGAGGGAGGGAGGGAGAGGGAGAGAGAAGAGAGAGGGAAGAGGAGGAGGGAGGAGGAGGAGAGGAGGAGAGAGAGAGAGGAGGGAGGGAGGGAGAGGAGAGAGGGAGGAGGGAGAGGGAAGGGAGGAGGAGGAGGGAGAGAGAGGAGGAGAGAGAGGAGAGGGAGGGAGGAGGAGGAGGGAGGGAGGGAGGGAGGGAGGGAGGGAGGAGAGGAGGAGGGAGGAGGGAGGAGGGAGGAGGAGGAGGAGGAGGAGGAGGAGGAGGAGGAGGAGGAGGAGGAGGGAAGAGGGAGGGAGGAGGAGGAGGAGGGAAGAGGGAGGGAGGAGGAAGAGGAGGGAGGAGGAGGGAAGAGGAGGAGGAAGACUCCUGUCUCCUCUGAGGGCUCAGUGCUGCAUCUGCCACGUGACGUCACAUCACCUCUGCUUAAUUCUGUUCCGUCAGCUCUUCAUCGAUAGUCUCAGUUCGAUAUCGCAUAAACGAUUUCCAUCCUUCGAUUAA
rnacentral:lncRNA from 1 species